UAACACAUGCAAGUCGAACGAUGAAGCCCAGCUUGCUGGGUGGAUUAGUGGCGAACGGGUGAGUAACACGUGAGUAACCUGCCCUUGACUCUGGGAUAAGCACUGGAAACGGUGUCUAAUACCGGAUAUUUCAGCUGGCCGCAUGGUCUGGUUGUGGAAAGAAUUUUGGUCAAGGAUGGACUCGCGGCCUAUCAGGUUGUUGGUGAGGUAAUGGCUCACCAAGCCUACGACGGGUAGCCGGCCUGAGAGGGUGACCGGCCACACUGGGACUGAGACACGGCCCAGACUCCUACGGGAGGCAGCAGUGGGGAAUAUUGCACAAUGGGCGAAAGCCUGAUGCAGCAACGCCGCGUGAGGGACGACGGCCUUCGGGUUGUAAACCUCUUUUAGUAGGGAAGAAGCGAAAGUGACGGUACCUGCAGAAAAAGCACCGGCUAACUACGUGCCAGCAGCCGCGGUAAUACGUAGGGUGCAAGCGUUGUCCGGAAUUAUUGGGCGUAAAGAGCUCGUAGGCGGUUUGUCGCGUCUGCUGUGAAAACUGGAGGCUCAACCUCCAGCCUGCAGUGGGUACGGGCAGACUAGAGUGCGGUAGGGGAGAUUGGAAUUCCUGGUGUAGCGGUGGAAUGCGCAGAUAUCAGGAGGAACACCGAUGGCGAAGGCAGAUCUCUGGGCCGUAACUGACGCUGAGGAGCGAAAGCAUGGGGAGCGAACAGGAUUAGAUACCCUGGUAGUCCAUGCCGUAAACGUUGGGAACUAGAUGUGGGGGCCAUUCCACGGUCUCCGUGUCGCAGCUAACGCAUUAAGUUCCCCGCCUGGGGAGUACGGCCGCAAGGCUAAAACUCAAAGGAAUUGACGGGGGCCCGCACAAGCGGCGGAGCAUGCGGAUUAAUUCGAUGCAACGCGAAGAACCUUACCAAGGCUUGACAUAUACGAGAACGGGCCAGAAAUGGUCAACUCUUUGGACACUCGUAAACAGGUGGGUGCAUGGUUGUCGUCAGCUCGUGUCGUG
rnacentral:rRNA from 1 species